rnacentral:rRNA from 1 species
GACAGAGGGUGCAAACGUUGUUCGGAAUUACUGGGCGUAAAGCGCGUGUAGGCUGCUCUGCAAGUCGGGUGUGAAAGCCCUGGGCUCAACCUAGGAAGUGCACUCGAAACUGCAGAGCUGGAGUCCUGGAGAGGAAGGCGGAAUUCUCGGUGUAGAGGUGAAAUUCGUAGAUAUCGAGAGGAACACCGGUGGCGAAGGCGGCCUUCUGGACAGUGACUGACGCUGAGACGCGAAAGCGUGGGGAGCGAACAGG